UGGGGAAUAUUGCGCAAUGGGCGAAAGCCUGACGCAGCAACGCCGCGUGGAGGAUGAAGGUCUUCGGAUUGUAAACUCCUGUUGCCCGGGACGAAAUGUUCAGACCUAAUACGUCUGAGUUUGACGGUACCGGGUGAGGAAGCCCCGGCUAACUCUGUGCCAGCAGCCGCGGUAAUACAGAGAGGGCAAGCGUUGUUCGGAAUUACUGGGCGUAAAGGGCGCGUAGGCGGCCCUCUAAGUCGAACGUGAAAUCCCUGGGCUCAACCCAGGAACUGCGUCCGAGACUGGGGGGCUAGAAUCCGGGAGAGGGAUGUGGAAUUCCAGGUGUAGCGGUGAAAUGCGUAGAUAUCUGGAAGAACACCGGUGGCGAAGGCGGCUCACUGGAUCGGUACUGACGCUGAGGUGCGAAAGCGUGGGGAGCAAACAGGAUUAGAUACCCGGGUAGUCCCUGAGCGGGCUGGCAAGGCGCAU
rnacentral:rRNA from 1 species